CCAAAGUGAUCACACCUCAGUCCAGUAGAUGGCGGUAGUGCACCAAGAUUGUAAGCCGCCAAUAAAAGUCACAGAAGAAGAAGAAGAAAAAACACCAACAACCCGACGGCCAUAUUUCGGUUGACAUGCUUUGACAACGUUACAGACAAUAUGGGAUUAAUCCCGAUAUCUCUCUUCCGAGACAGACGAAAUGUAAUCGAAGAAAGAGAAGAAGAAUUGUAGGUGGUGAAACCAUUGAUCUCAAGUCUUCAGUCAGUUGCUCCCGAGCAUCCAAAGACUGAUGAAGGGAUUGAUUGUAACCACUGUGGCACUGAUGUUGAACAACCUGAAACUGACUUACCAAUGAAUGAUCGAGUGGACAUCAGAAAUAGAGCUGUGUUUCAACAUAGUAGUUCUCAAUAAGGUGGGGUGGUUUUAGAACAGGAUGAUCUAGUGGACAAUGGAACCAAGGGUGAUGUUCUCAGUGAAAUAGACCAAGCAGAUUCAGCAGACAUGUGGUAUGGUGAUGUUGGAUCUGAUCAUAACAUUGAAGAUGAUAACACUUGGCAUAUUGAUGGCAACAAGGAAAGCGAGGAUGAUUUGGGGCAAGACAAGGGUGGAGACUCAGGACAAAAUGAAGAAAUGGAUCAGGGGGAUGAUGAGGAUUGACAUGACAACGGAGUUGACUCUGGAGGAGAUGAUUAUGAUUUUCAGCAUGGUGAUGGGGAGGAAGGAGAUGAACCAGAUGAUAAUCACCGGGGAUUCAGCGUUGAAGAUGGAAAUCUUCCAAUUUAUCCAGAUGCACCCAUCACCAAGUCACAGAGUCUACUGCUGAUAGUGUCCUCUGUCUUGCGGGAUGGUCUUUCUGAUAGUGCUUUGGAUGAUCUUCUUUCUUUGAUGAAUAUACACUGUCCAAACAGUGUUCCUACAUCAAAGUAUUUGCUGUACAAGAGUGUUGAAUAUUCAAUGUACGAGGUUCACUGUUAUUGCAUGGCGUGCACUGCAUAUCUUGGCCCCGAGAAAUUGACAAGGAAUUGUACAAACUGCGGCAGUGAGUUCAGUGCAGACAUCUCAACUGCAGAGGGUAGUUUUUUUCUCAGGAUGCCCGUCAAAACACAGCUGCAAAGAAUGAUGAAAGUACCAGAAGUGGCAGCUGCCCUUGAAAAUCGAAAUAUUGAUGAACUCUUGAGAGAAACUAACAUAAAUGACAUUGUUCAUGGUAAACUUUAUAAAAACUUUCUUCAUGAUGGCAUAAUAGGUCCCAGUGACUUGUCAUUAUUGUUCAACACUGAUGGCGUUUCUGUUUUUAAAUCCUUCAAUUUUUCUGUUUGGCCUUUGUUUGCCACAGUAAAUGAAAUUCCACCACAUAUGCGCAGGAAACAUAUGAUUAUGGCAGGUUUGUGGUUUGGAGAAUGUAAACCCAACAUGAAUACUUUCUUAAAACCAUUUGUGGAUGAACUUAGAGAUUUGGGAGCAGAUGGUUUGCACUCACCUCUUGGCCAAACCAGGAUUUUUGCUCUUUGCCUGUCAGCGGAUGCACCUGCCAGGGCUUUAGUGAGGAAUUCCAGUUCAAUGGGAAGUAUGGAUGCGACUGGUGUAAGCAGGAAGGCACACCAAUACCAAAUGGAAAUGGUCCUCCCAUUCGUACUUACCCAUACAAUGGUGAAGCACUCCCAAGAACUGACGAUGAUCAGAGGAGAUUGUCAGUAGAGUCACAGAGAACAGGGAUGUGUCAGCAAGGUGUGAAGGGGCCUUCAGUUGUCAUGCAGUUACCACAUUAUGACUCUGUGAAAGGCAUUUGUUCUGAAUCACAACACACAGCUUUCUUAGGAGUUACUAGACAUUUUGUGGGGACUUGGCUGGAUUCAGCAAACAGAGCAGAGGCAUAUUACAUUGGUGACCAGGUGAAGAAAUUAGAUGAGAGACUGCAGGAUAUAGCACCUCCAAGUGAAAUAACAGAUGCCCCAGGUCUCUCAAAACGCAGAAGUAUUGGAAGGCAUCUGAAUGGCGAGCUCUCCUGUUCUAUUCUUUGGUGGUAUUUCAGGGAAUUUGACCUGCUGUGUAUAUGAAACACUGGUUCCUAUUUGUAUUUGGUAUUUAUUACCUCAUGAGUGAGAGUGUUUCUGAAAGAAAGGUUCGUGAGAGCAACACUUGCCUCAGGAUGUUUGUUCUGAUGACUGAGCGUUUGCACUUUCAAUGUCCACUCAUUGAUUCAUUUUGCCCAGUCAGUUAUCAACACUGGCCCUUUAUGGGCAACUUCCACCUUUGUUUUUGAGGGAUACAACAGGACUUUGAUUAGGUGUUUCCACAGUACCCAGGAAGUUGGUUUUCAGAUUUGUGAGACAUUCUCUCUCAUGAAGGUGAUGACAGAGUUAGCAGUUAGUUGCAUGGAGGAGAACACUGAUGUGUCUGUCCUGUACACCUCAUUGGCCAGCAGACACUCUAAAUCAAAAUGCACAAACGUACUUUCAAAUAAUUUGCGUGCUCUUGGCAAAGGAGAGCAAGUUUAUUCUGCCUCCAUCAAAGUUACUGGCUGCAAGCAGACUGACAGGGAACCAAGUGCACACUUCCGCCAUUGUAUACAAGAGAUUUAUUUUUCACCACCAGCAGUGACUAUUUUCAAUCUGCUCGGCAUUGCAGCUGCUACGUUGCAUUUACUCAUGAUGUGUAUAAAUAUGGAAGAAUUUAAGCUUUUCUCUGUGUUAAGUUGGGACCAGACUGCAUGAGUGAUAAUGGUUUUUGUUUGUGUGAUAAAGCAAAUAUCAUACUAGUAAAGCCAUUAAGCAUUACACGAAGACCAUCAUUUGUUGAUGCAAGGCUAGGCUGUUCAUCUGAUUCUCUUGUAAAUAUUGACCAACAUGCAGAUAACCCAAAUAUUUGUAUUUAUCCAGGAGACAUCCUGCAAAAAUGUAUUUUUAUGAAAUCUGAUGUUUCAUCUUACCUGUGCCCACUACCUUCUCGGUUCUACUGGGAUUAAGUUGUGAAUUGAUGCUUGCACAUGAAUGUUUUACAUGUUAGCAGAACUUGGCCCUCUAUAGAAUCCUAUAGGACAGCCCAUAGAAUUCUCCAGGUCUGUCUAUAGAAUCGUAUAGGACAGCCUAUAGAAUUCUCCAGGUCUGUCUAUAGAAUCCUAUAGGACAGCCUAUAGAAUUCUCCAGGUCUGUCUAUAGAAUCCUAUAGGACAGCCUAUAGAAUUCUCCAGGUCUGUCUAUAGAAUCGUAUAGGACAGCCUAUAGAAUUCUCCAGGUCUGUCUAUAGAAUCCUAUAGGACAGCCUAUAGAAUUCUCCAGGUCUGUCUAUAGAAUCAUAUAGGACAGCCCAUAGAAUUCUCCAAGUCUGUCUAUAGAAUCCUAUAGGACAGCCCAUAGAAUUCUCCAGGUCUGUCUAUAGAAUCCUAUAGGACAGCCUAUAGAAUUCUCCAGGUCUGUCUAUAGAAUCUUAUAGGACAGCCUAUAGAAUUCUCCAGGUCUGUCUAUAGAAUCCUAUAGGACAGCCUAUAGAAUUCUCCAGGUCUGUCUAUAGAAUCGUAUAGGACAGCCUAUAGAAUUCUCCAGGUCUGUCUAUAGAAUCGUAUAGGACAGCCUAUAGAAUUCUCCAGGUCUGUCUAUAGAAUCCUUUA